rnacentral:tRNA from 1 species
UAAAAAUUAGUUAAAGUAAUAACGUAAGUUUGUCAAGCUUAAAUUAUCAAUCCCUGAUAUUUUUAA